CAAAAUGACUCUCGGCAACGGAUAUCUCGGCUCUCGUAUCGAUGAAGAACGUAGCGAAAUGCGAUACUUGGUGUGAAUUGCAGAAUCCCGUGAACCAUCGAGUCUUUGAACGCAAGUUGCGCCCGAAGCCUUCAGGCUAAGGGCACGUCUGCCUGGGCGUCACACA
rnacentral:rRNA from 1 species